rnacentral:rRNA from 1 species
GACGGAAGGUGCAAGCGUUGCUCGGAAUCACUGGGCGUAAAGGGUGCGUAGGCGGCCUCUUAAGUCUGGCGUGAAAGCCCAGGGCUCAGCCCUGGAAGUGCUCUAGAAACUGAGAGGCUAGAGUGCCGGAGGGGAGAGUGGAAUUCCCGGUGUAGCGGUGAAAUGCGUAGAUAUCGGGAGGAAUACCGGUGGCGAAAGCGACUCUCUGGACGGCAACUGACGCUGAGGCACGAAAGCGUGGGGAGCAAACAGG